rnacentral:lncRNA from 1 species
GCCCACUCCAAGGGGUGUGCGCCCCUUGAAUUUUCCAAAAAGGGAGGCAUGUGCCUCCUCUCCUCUUUCCAAUUAAUCCACGCCUCAGAAGAAAAUAAUAAGAGAGAAAAUAAGGAGAUUUGUUUGCCAACUAAUUGGCUUGAUCCAAUCCUUUUGGGUCCUCAAAUAGGUGCUCCUCUAAAUCCAAAUCAAAAUGGAUCUAGAUAAGAUUCAAGGCUAUAGACUUGAUCCAAUCAUUAUCUAAUAAAAAAUCCAAGUCCAGAGAAGAAUUGAGUUUAACCAUGUGCUAACAUAAUUUUCAUAAACCCAAUAAGAUUUCACUAAAUCCUAACCUAAUUAGAACUUCAUAAGCCCAAUUGGUUAAUUCAAGAUUAAAUUUCUUAACGUGUGACCCCAUAGGUUCCAUUCUAUCUGGUAGUGAGAUAUAUUACGAUCUCCAUCACAAUAUCAUCGAAACUCUUUUCGAUGGGUUGGAACAAUUCCAACUUUGCCUUUCGAGGAUCAUCGAUCAUCAAGACGAUGUCCGAUGAGUCCCACAAUCCAUCAGUAACACCUAGCACUAUGUAGUGACAAUCCAAUAAAAUAAAAGUAUGAACGCCUAGAUGCAGUUAUCGUGUGAUUCAAUCUUUCUAUCGUGAAUCCCGACUUGAUGGAGGUCAUGAAAAACUUGCCAGACCCCAUCAUCAGUCAUAUACCAGAUUGGCUCGACUCGAGUUCACUUGUGAAUCUCAUGAAAACUCUUUUUCAGUAUUCACACUUGCUUUGGCCAAAAAUUUUCUGAACUCAGUUUCACAAAUCGUAUAGGAUUUCUCUUUUUCUACCAAGGUCAAUAGAUUCCAUCUAGGUGCAUCCUACUAACAGAGAAUCUGAAUCUACUAUAGCCAACAUACACAGCAAGAAUCCGAAUGGCUAGGGACCAAGAGAACGUGCAGUCAAACUCAGUAGCCUCACUGCAAAUAGCCGAUGACACCACAGGUCAAAGGACCACUCAUACCACUGCAGCAUCGAGACAACCACUGAUGAGUAAGUAGACAUCCAAGUGAUUUCUCGUGUUGGUCACGCUCAGUGCAAGUUCUUUAACAACCACCUGCAUUCUCAUCCCAGUGUCCUUACACUGCAGAUCCGAGACUCAUCUAUCCAAAAAGGAGGUGAUCCAUACACCGAUCUUUAAAUGGAUNNNNNNNNNNNNNNNNNNNNNNNNNNNNNNNNNNNNNNNNNNNNNNNNNNNNNNNNNNNNNNNNNNNNNNNNNNNNNNNNNNNNNNNNNNNNNNNNNNNNNNNNNNNNNNNNNNNNNNNNNNNNNNNNNNNNNNNNNNNNNNNNNNNNNNUAAAAAUGACCUUUAUUAAUAAUAAAAGUGUUACAUGUACAAAGUUAAACCUUGAAAUUAUAAAAUGUGUCAACCAACAAUUGGCUUUUAGGGCACACAUCUAACAAACUCGCACUUGACCUAAAGCCAAUUAGCUAUAUACCUAAGAUCCAUCAUCUCAAAGUGAGCUUCGAUCUUCUGCUGGCUGAGAGGCUUGAUCAGCGGGUCCGCCACAUUCUACACAGAGUCGACUCUCUGCACCUCGACGAACUUCUUUUGAGGUAUUCGCGUAUGAUGUGGAACCACCACUUUAUAUGCUUGGACUUCUGAUGAGACUUAGGCUCCUUAGCGAGAGUUAUGACGCCGUUGUUGUCACAGUGCAGUGCAAUGACAUCUGAUGGCAUCAUAUCUAGCUCCGCAACAAAGUUUUUGAAUCAAAAAGCUUCCUUAGCAGCUUCAGAGACAGCGAUAUACUCGACUUCUAUGGUCGAAUCUGUAAUGACCGGCUGCUUGAAACUCUUCCAGUUAAUCGAUCUUCCAUUACACAAGAAAAUACAUUUUGAUGUAGAUUUUCUAUCAUCGAUAUCAGUUAUAAAGUCUGAAUCAGUGUAUCCCUCCACUUUCAGCUCUGAUCCUCCAUCAAAGAUCAAGAACAAAUCUUUAGUUCUUCUCAAGUACUUAAGGAUGUUAUUCACAGCAAUCCAGUGCUCUUCACCUGGAUUCGCCUAAUAUCUGCUCAUGAUACUCACGGCAAGCGCUAUAUCAGGUCAUGUACAUAACAUGACAUACAUGAAGCUCCCUAUUGCCGAAGCAUAAGGGAUCUUGCUCAUGCACUGGAUCUCCUCAGAUGUGUCAGGGCACAUCUUCUUGAAAAGAUGAAUGCCAUGUCUAAGGGGCAAGAGAUUCCUCUUGAAGUUUUCCAUGCCGAACCUUUUCAGCACCUCUAUGUACAUUCGCUGUGAGAGUCCUAUCAUUCUCUUAAAUCUAUCCUUAUAAAUCUUUAUACAAAAAAUGUAGGAAGCUUCUCCUAGGUCUUUCAUGAUGAAUUCUUUUGACAACCAUACUUUGACCGAUGUCAGCAUGAAAAUAUUAUUCCCAAUCAGGAGGAUAUCAUCCACAUACAAUACAAGAAAUGUGACAGCGCUCUCACUGACCUUUUUAUAUACACACGAUUUCUCUUCGUUUUUUAUGGAAUCAAAUAUUUUGAUCACAUCAUUAAAGUGAAUGUUCCAACUCCGAGAUGCUUGCUUGAGUCCAUAUAUGGACCUUUGCAGCUUGCAGACCUUGUGAUCACUAUCACUGGAUGUGAAAUCCAAAGGCUGCUCUAUAUAGAUAUCUUCCUCAAGAUAUCCAUUUAGGAAGACAAUUUUCAUAUCCAUCUGCUAAAUUUCAUAAUCAUGAAAAGCUGCAAUCACAAGCAGAGUCUGGAUAGAUUUUAGCAUGGCCAUGGGUGAAAAAGUUUCCUAAUAGUCAAUGCCUUCGCAUUGACUAUAACCUUUCGCAACCAGCCUUGCCUUAUAAGUCUACCUGACCAUUCGACCCAAUUUUUUUUUUAUAGAUCCAUUUACACUCAAUAGGUACAAUACCUUCAGGUGGAUCUACUAAGAUCCAAAUCUGAUUGAAAUGCAUGGAGUCAAUUUCUGACGUCAUCACUUUCAUCCAUCUCUCGGAGUCAACAUCUAAUAUCGCCUCAUCAUAGGUCUUAGGAUCAUUCCUAAUAUCCCUAUCUCCCACAAGGAAUGCUUCUUCUAGAUCCUCUGUAAGAAUACCUAAGUACUUUUCAAAAAGACGGGAGAUCCUACUUGAUCUACGAGGUGGAGGAGGUACCACAUCUACUGACUCACUACUAGAUUUAGAUUCUUGGACUCGAUACAAUUCAGAGACCUUCUCUUCGAGCACAAUGUUCCUCCCACUGCCUUCAUCUUGGAUACUCUUUUUUCAAAAAGACAGCAUGACGGCUCACAAUCACAUUGUGAUCCUCAGGAAGAUAAAAGUAGUAUCCCAUGNNNNNNNNNNNNNNNNNNNNAAUUUCUUAGGAUACCCUAUAAAACGAGUCCUAAAAGAUCUAGCCUCUAACUUGUCCAUCUGCUGUCGCUUGACAUAGAUCGGACAUCUCCAAUCUUGAGAUACCCAAGAGCUGACUUCUUACCAUGCCAUAACUCGUAUGGUGUGGUAGGAAUAGAUUUAGAGGAAACCCGAUUUAAAAGAUGAAUUAUAGAAAGUAAUGCAUGUCCCUAGAGAAAGAUAGGAAGAUCUGUGAAGCUUAUCAUGGACCAGAUCAUAUCUAAUAAGGUCCGAUUCCUCCUUUUGGAUAUCUCAUUGAGCUGAGGCAUCCCUGAAGGUGUCCACUGUGAGACUAUGCCGUUAUCCUUGAGAUAGAUCCGAAAUUUUCUGCUAAGGUAUUCCCUCCUCGAUCUGAUCGAAGAAUCUUUAUAGGUUUUUCGGUCUGUUUUUCUACUUCAUGUCUGAACUCCAUGAACUUUUCAAAGAUUUCAGACUUUCGAUGUAUCAAAUAUAUAAAAUCAUACCGUGAAUAAUCAUCGAUAAAAAUUAUGAAGUAGACAUAGCCACCCCUGACUUGUACAUCCAAUGGACCACACAUCAGUAUACCAGGGCUAAUAUUUUAGUGGCUCUUUUCUCUUAUCCCACAAAGGAUAGCAUAGCUAUUUUUUCUUAAAGAUAGGAUUCACAAACCGGAUAAGACUCGAAAGUCAAUGACCUAAGAAGACCAUCUUUCUCCAGUUUGUUGAGUCUGUCCUCUCCUAUAUAGCCUAGCCUAAGGUGCCAUAGAUAUUUUUAGCUAAUCCUAUCUUUAAGUCUCUUAGAUCCUAUGGCAUUCACAGUUUGCUCGUUAAUAUUAAUACUCGCAUCCAUAUGCAAAUGAUAAAGACCAUCAAUCAAGAAAGCAUGUGUAACAACUUUAUUUUCAAAAUAAAUUGCAUAUAUAUCUUUAUUGAAAUAAAAAUUAUAAUUAUCUUAUGCCAGCACAGAUAUGAAAAUUAAAUUCCUACUGACUACAGGUACACAAUAGCAGUCUUUUAAUAACAAUCUAUAUCCUAACGGUAGUCACAAAGGGUAGGUCCCGACGGCCACAACAGCAACUCUUGCUCUAUUGUCGACCUGAAGAGCGAUCCCACCUUCCCUCAGCCAUCUAAUUUCUUCAAGACCCUGCAUAGAAGUACACAAGUGAGCAUUUGAACCAGAAUCUAGAAUCCAACUAGAAGAAGAGAAAACCAUUAGAUUAGAUUCUAUUAUAAGCAAAUCAGAUGUACCUUCAGAAAGCCCAUUCUUCUUUCUGUUCUUCACAGUCGUCAGGUAGAUCGGACAGUUCCUUCGCCAAUGGCCUUCAACAUUGCAGUGAAAAUAUUUUUCUUUAUCGUCGGCCUUCUUCGGAAUCUAUUUUUUGGGCUUGGCCUCAUUCUUUUGCUUCUUCGCAGGCUUCUUCUUUUUCUUGAAAGAAAAAUUUCUCUUAGAAGAAGUCCGCUCCACAGUCAGAACCGUACCCCUUGAAUUUUUCAAGAUGUCCUCAGCUAUCACCAACAUGUUCAGUGAUUCGGACAAAGUGCUAUCAAUUUUAUUCAUAUGGUAGUUUAUAAUGAACUGCCCAUAUAAAUCAGAAAGAUAUUGGAGGAUCAAAUCCACCUGCAAUUCCUUAUCCAUGUUUAUCCCAAGCUUCUGAAGCUUUUCGAUGUCCUUGAUCAUUGUCAAAUAAUGAUUAUUGACGGAUUGUCCAUCACACAUUUUUGCUCUGAAUAGUCUUCGAAAGACGUCAAAACAAGUUGUGCGACUCUGCUCACCAUACAACUCUUACAGGUGAGUCAGCAUCUCUUUGACAGUCCUCAUGUCUUCAUGCUGUUGCUGAAGAUCAUUGGACAUGGAUGCUAGAAUGUAGUACUUUGCCUUAUUGUCCUCAUCCAUCCACUUCUCAAGUACGGCUCGUUGAUCAGAGGAUGGACGAGCUGGUAACACAAGCGCAUCCUGAUCUAGGAUAUGAGUUAACUUUUCAGAACUGAGAACGAUUCUUAAAUUUCGGAGUCAGUCUUUGUAGUUUGUCUCGAUCAAUCUAUUUGUGUCAAGGAUAUGGACUAAAGGGUUUGAACUCGAUAUGGUUAUCUGCAGUGAAAACAGUUUCUAGUUAGAUGUUUGUACUUAUUAAAUAUUUGUUCUAGGAACUUUUAAAAUCAAACAAGGCUCCUACUAUUUCUUCGAAUCUCCCACACUCCUCGGAUGGAGAAACAAAAACUUAUACACAAUCGAUUUCUAGUAGGUACUGUGAUUCCACUGAUCUAUACACACCUCACCUAACAGUUAUUGAAGAGUAUAGACCAAUGAGUGGACAACAUCCGUCCAUUGCUUCACAAAGUAAGAUGCAACGGGUCCGAUCUCUAAGUCCUGUGACCUCAUCUAAUAGUUAUUGGUACAUUUCUUAGUUAAAUCAGACCCAUCGUUUACCAGUAGAUGUAAAGCCAUCAUUGGAUCCCUCAUCUAACAGUUAUUGGAUCCAACCCCAUUUCUAUCUCGAGGCAUCUAAUGCCAAUAGAGUGAUUGUACCUUUUCGAUGCAACUGAACCACUAUAAUCAGUCGAGAACGAUCAACGUCACGAAAGCACCCGCAUCUCUACAAUGGUGGAAGACCGCUAGACUUAAUAUUUGUAAGGAGAUUUAGAUUUAUGUAUCUUCUAAGUCAUCAGAUUUGAUAUUUGACUGAUCAAGUUCAAAUCAGCACAUUCACAUGUCUGACCUACCUGAUCGGCAUAGGAGAAUUUGAGUCAGCAAGUAACCUAAUUUGAAACUUAAUCUCCCAAAAUAGCUAGAUAAGUUAAGAUGAGUGAGGAUUCUCCUGUUGCUUUCCUUAGACACCAACGGAUUGGCCAGAUCAGAUAAUGGAACCAAUUAAAUAACCACCAUCUAAGUACUUGUCUUAGACAUUUAAUUGAUUGAUUAAAAUCGAUCAGAUUAACCUAUUGAUCCGGAUCUGAACCACCGAGCCAAAUUAAGUCUUGAGUCAAUCAAUUCACAUUAAAAUAUGAAUCGAUGCAAUCAACUAUAACUAAAACUGAUUUUGAGCCCUUUUGACCUAAUCCUAACCAAUAAUUGAUUAGAUUCAAUCAACUACUCAAAAUUGAUAAUGGGUUCUAGCCUGAUCAAAUUAAUUGACCCAAAUUGUAGUUUGAUCACUAGACCUAAUUUAUUCAACCCAUACCCAUAUGCAAUAACAUAAUUUUCAGAUUCUAAAAAUAUUUUAAAUUAUAUUUCAUUACAUGCAUUAGUGGCUUAUGAUCUUGAAACAGUUUCAGAUCUAAACCUAAUGUCAUAUAUCACAUAUAUGAAGUUUUAGAUCUAAACUACAAACAUAUAUCACAUAUAUAUAUUAAAUUUCAGAUCUAAAACUAAAAUUACACAUAUCAAAUACAUGCAUAAUCAAAUCUAAAAUAAUGAUUAAAAUACUUUAAAAAUAAUUUUUAAAAAUGGUUCGCAUCAAACUAGGAUAACUUUUUCAAUAUAGGGGAUAAACCCUAUAUCAGGACAACCUUAUACUAGUCCGAUGUGAAUAUUUAAUCAUUCUAAUUUCAGAUCUAUCAUGAAUAAAAAUAUAUCAUAUACAUUUAUUUUCAGAUCUAAAAGAUUGAUUUAAAAAUUUUAAAAAUAGAUCUCAAAACCGAUCAAUCUUAUGCUAGGACAACCUUUUCAAUAUAGAAGGUUAACCCUAUAAUAGGAAAACCUUAUACCAGCACAAGAUCAAUAUUAAAUCAUUUAAACUUUCAGAUCUAACAUAAAAAUCAGAUUAUACAUGUCUUAAAAAAUCUAUGGCUCUGAUACCACUGUUAGAAAACGGAUAGGAUUGCAUGCAUAGAUUUCAAAAUAAUUUUGAAACAACGGAAGCAAAUCUAAGUUAAACCCUUUAACCCCACAUGCAAUAGAUCUAAUCUAUAUCUAUCCAAGCCCUGAAUCUAAGACAUACAUAUAAUCUAAAAAAUAAAAUAGAAAAAUUGAGAUCGGAUCUCAAUACCUUGUGCGGGUUAAAAUACACCACAACCGAUGAUCCUAAAUCUAAAGGUUCUAGAGCCGUAUACGUUCUCAGCCUUUUGGAUCUUUGAUCAACUCUUGAUCUUUGAUCGCGAUCUCAAUGCUUGAACUGCAGUCUUUCUCUCUGUUCCUUGCUGUAGAAGAGAUCAUCCUCAACUUGAGCAUGUGGGAAGAUGGGACGCCCAAACCUUGGAUGUUGGAAAGAGAGGAGGAAGAGAGGUUGGCGUGGUGAAUGGGAGAGGUUUAGAUCUGAAUUCUUAAUUCAAUCCCUUUGAAACCCUAGGAGACCAUCCCUUAAAUAAAUAUUUUCUUGAUUUCAAAUCAAUCUCCAAUCAAUCUAGAAAGACUAGUCCUUAUCUCAUAAGGUUCUUUGCCUUUUAAUUUGAUUUUUUUCCAAAAAAAUCAGAUCCAAUUGGAAAGACCCUUACCUCAUAUGGCAAGUAGAGGGGGCGCCCCACAUCCUAUAAGGCAGGUAGAGGGGGUGCCCUCAUCAAAUGAGGCGAGUAGAGGGGGUGCCAACCCUUGGCGCCCCUUAGGGUUUAGUGUGCACAAAAAAGGGGGCCUAGCCCCUCUCUCCCCUCUCUCUCCUUCCAUGCUAAAGCAAAAGAGGGAGUGGGCCCCUCUCUCUUCUAUCCGCCCACUCCAAGGGGUGUGCGUCCCUUGGAUUUUCCAAAAAGGGAGGCAUGCGCCUCGUCUCCUCUUUCUAAUUAAUUCAUGCCUCAGAAGGAAAUAACCAGAGAGAAAAUAAGGAGAUUUAUUUGCCAACUAAUUGGUUUGAUCCAAUCCUUUUGGGCCUUCAAAUAGGUGCCCCUCUAAACUCAAAUCAAAAUAGAUCAAGAUAAGGUUCAAGACUAUAGACUUGAUUCAAUCCCUUAUCUAAUAAGGAAUCCAAAUCCAGAGAAGAAUUGGGUUUAAUC